UCAGACGAUGCGUCAUGCAUAUCAAUAAGCGGAGGAAAAGAAACUAACAAGGAUUCCCCUAGUAACGGCGAGUGAAGCGGGAAGAGCUCAAAUUUGAGAUCUUAAAGGGUUUCCCUUUACGAAUUGUAGUUUAAAGAAGUGUUUUCUGUUGAGGUUUUGGUAAAAGUUCUUUGGAAUAGGACAUCAUAGAGGGUGAGAAUCCCGUAUUUGACCUUUACUUUCAACUUUGUGAUACACUUUCAAAGAGUCGGAUUGUUUGGGAAUGCAGUCCAAAAUGGGUGGUAAAUUUCAUCUAAAGCUAAAUAUUGGCGAGAGACCGAUAGCGAACAAGUACCGUGAGGGAAAGAUGAAAAGAACUUUGAAAAGAGAGUUAAACAGUACGUGAAAUUGUCAAAAGGGAAGCGUUUGACACCAGUGUUGUUUUUCUGAAAAUCAAUUAAAGAACUGUUUAUGCUAAGCUGUUUAGACUUUAUCAGCUAUCUGUUUAGUUUUGAGCUUUUCUUUAGUGCACUUUUCAGUUAACAAGUCAACAUCAAUUUCUUUUGCUGUAAAAAAGCUUGAGGAAGGUGGCUUGAGAUUCGUCUUAAGUGUUUAUAGCCUCUUGCCUAUGCAGUCGGAGAGAUUGAGGUCUGCAGCGUAGAUCCUUCGGGGCUAAAUGCAUUUGUGCUAAGUUAUAGCAUUUUAUAGACGAACUUGUUGACUAUGAUUUGUCUUGUAGCUUACUCGCUUAUGUUAUUUUACCUACGCUUAGGAUGUUGAGCGCAUGUCUCUCUCU
rnacentral:rRNA from 1 species